AGAUGGUGAGAGUGGCGCACGGGUGCGUAACGCGUGAGCAACCUACCUCUAUCAGGGGGAUAGCCUCUCGAAAGAGAGAUUAACACCGCAUAACAUCAACAGUUCGCAUGUUCGGUUGAUUAAAUAUUUAUAGGAUAGAGAUGGGCUCGCGUGACAUUAGCUAGUUGGUAGGGUAACGGCUUACCAAGGCGACGAUGUCUAGGGGCUCUGAGAGGAGAAUCCCCCACACUGGUACUGAGACACGGACCAGACUCCUACGGGAGGCAGCAGUAAGGAAUAUUGGUCAAUGGGCGGAAGCCUGAACCAGCCAUGCCGCGUGCAGGAUGACUGCCCUAUGGGUUGUAAACUGCUUUUGUCCAGGAAUAAACCCAGAUACGUGUAUCUGGCUGAAUGUACUGGAAGAAUAAGGAUCGGCUAACUCCGUGCCAGCAGCCGCGGUAAUACGGAGGAUCCGAGCGUUAUCCGGAUUUAUUGGGUUUAAAGGGUGCGUAGGCGGCCAAUUAAGUCAGGGGUGAAAUACGGUGGCUCAACCAUCGCAGUGCCUUUGAUACUGAUGGGCUUGAAUCCAUUUGAAGUGGGCGGAAUAAGACAAGUAGCGGUGAAAUGCAUAGAUAUGUCUUAGAACUCCGAUUGCGAAGGCAGCUCACUAAGCUGGUAUUGACGCUGAUGCACGAAAGCGUGGGGAUCGAACAGGAUUAGAUACCCUGGUAGUCCACGCCCUAAACGAUGAUAACUCGAUGUUGGCGAUAGACAGCCAGCGUCCCAGCGAAAGCGUUAAGUUAUCCACCUGGGGAGUACGCCCGCAAGGGUGAAACUCAAAGGAAUUGACGGGGGCCCGCACAAGCGGAGGAGCAUGUGGUUUAAUUCGAUGAUACGCGAGGAACCUUACCCG
rnacentral:rRNA from 1 species